UACGGAGGGUGCGAGCGUUGUCCGGAUUUAUUGGGUUUAAAGGGUGCGUAGGUGGCUUAAUAAGUCAGUGGUGAAAUACAGCCGCUCAACGGUUGAGGUGCCAUUGAUACUGUUAAGCUUGAAACAAGUGGAGGUUGCCGGAAUGGAUGGUGUAGCGGUGAAAUGCAUAGAUAUCAUCCAGAACACCGAUUGCGAAGGCAGGUGACUACGUUUGAUUUGACACUGAGGCACGAAAGCAUGGGGAGCAAACAGG
rnacentral:rRNA from 1 species